rnacentral:misc_RNA from 1 species
GUUGCGUCACGGGUCGAUUUAAUCACGACUUAUGAGUGACAAUAUACUCGAUGUCGAAGGCAUUGUAACCCAACAAGUGGGGAGUUUGAUUUGGUUGGGACAAAUCAAACGAUCUGCGGUAGCAGCAACAAGGGUGUGGUGUGGAUACAAGUCGAGCCAUGCCAGCAUGUUGUUGUUACUUUCGUCCGUUUCUUCGAUUCGUCGAUUGUUGGGGUGAUGUCUAGUUGUUCGUGGAUCUUAGUUUAACUUUGAUCUUAGUUUUACGCUUAAUUGGUAUCUUCAUGAAGCGUGCACUGUCGGUCCGAUUGUAUGGCAUGCUGUUGUUCGAUUGUUGCCUUACGAUCGGAUUGUUGGUGUUAUCGAUGGCAUGAUUUGGCUUGUUAAUCGUGGAUGACAAUUUGACGUUGUUUCAUCAGUUGAUGAAUUUUGUUGAAUGGUGAUGCAAGGGUGGUUUGGUUUGCUGCGUUGUUGGUGAUGACAUUCGUCAUGAGGUGAUGCGGUGUCAUGUUGCCUGUGUAUCCUGGUUUUGAGCAAUUGAGCUUAAAACAUGUGGAUUAUCGGUUAGUGACACGGCAUCGCUCCCUUGGUUGAUGAAAGUCGUCCAAUGAUGCGGCGGUUUGUUUGUUUUCUUCUCGCAUCGCUCGGUGCAUUCUGGGGUCAUUUUGGCUGUUGGCAGCUUGCUUGGCAAUUAUGCUUGGUGGGUUGCUACUGGUUGAGUGUCUUCGGGGAUGUCUACCGUAAAGGUGCAUGAGUGGUGUUUGGUUUGUUACGGGUGGUUGGCUCUUUGCUUGCGCAACAACUUCUACCCGGCAUACCUCUUCAGUUUUGUGUCAACGCUUGUAUAGCAUUGAAUGCACGGCGGGUUUCUUGUGUUGCAUGCCUAAUUAAUGGUAUCGUUUGAUGAAUCGGUUUUCCUUUCGUCUUGUGUCGCCUAUGCGAUGUGAGAUGAACCUUGAAGCAGCCUUUGUGAUCCACUCUUUCGAUGCAUACACAUUGAUUUUGUGGCCCAUUGAGUGUUGCUUGGUCUCAUGGAUAUAGAAUCUGGUGUGGGCAUGGAAUCUUAAUGGUUCCUUGUUUGCCCAAGUUUAGCUUUUCUAAAACGAUUGUCU